rnacentral:rRNA from 1 species
AGCGAACGCUGGCGGCAGGCUUAACACAUGCAAGUCGAGCGGGCACUUCGGUGUCAGCGGCAGACGGGUGAGUAACACGUGGGAACGUACCCUUCGGUUCGGAAUAACGCUGGGAAACUAGCGCUAAUACCGGAUACGCCCUUUUGGGGAAAGGUUUACUGCCGAAGGAUCGGCCCGCGUCUGAUUAGCUAGUUGGUGGGGUAAUGGCCUACCAAGGCGACGAUCAGUAGCUGGUCUGAGAGGAUGAUCAGCCACACUGGGACUGAGACACGGCCCAGACUCCUACGGGAGGCAGCAGUGGGGAAUAUUGGACGAUGGGCGCAAGCCUGAUCCAGCCAUGCCGCGUGAGUGAUGAAGGCCUUAGGGUUGUAAAGCUCUUUUGUCCGGGACGAUAAUGACGGUACCGGAAGAAUAAGCCCCGGCUAACUUCGUG